rnacentral:lncRNA from 1 species
UGGCGAUAAGCUGCAGGUUGAAGGGCCCGGUGACCUGCAGCUCCUGCCCAAUGGCGUGCACGAUGGCCUUGAUGCGCUCCAGAGUCUUGGGCGUGAUGUCCUGCGGGGGGGUCACCAGCGUGGCAUCGCCCGAGUGCACUCCAGCGUUCUCCACGUGCUCAGAGAUGGCAAUGGCCACCACCACGCCGUCACAGGCGACCGCAUCCACGUCGAUCUCCUUGGCCUCCUGGAUGAACUUGGAGAUGACAACGGGCUGCUCCUUGGACACGGCCACGGCGUUGCUGAGAAACUUCUCCAGGUCACUGUCCGAGUAGGCGACGUUCAUGGCAGCACCACUCAGCACGUAGGAGGGCCGCACCACGCAGGGGUAGCCCACCGUGCAGCAGAAGUGCUUGGCUGACUCCAUGUCGGAGAGCUCCUUCCAGAGUGGCUGGCUGAUGCCGAUGGUGUCCAGCAGGCGAGAGAACUUGAAGCGGUUCUCAGCUGAGUCGAUGGCCUCGGGGGAGGUGCCCAGGAUGCGGCACUGCUGCCGGUGCAGCGCCAUGGCGAUGUUGUUGGGCAGCUGGCCGCCCAUUGACAGGAUGACACCCUCAGGGUUCUCCAGCUCGUAGAUGUCCAUCACCACCUCAAAGGAGAUCUCAUCAAAGUAGAGGCGGUCACACAUGUCAUAGUCAGUGCUCACAGUCUCAGGGUUGUAAUUCACCAUGAUGGUCUUGAAGCCCAUCUUGCGCAGCUCCUGGAUGCAGCCGACAGCGCACCAGUCGAACUCGACGGAGCUGCCGAUGCGGUAAACACCAGAACCGAUGACCAUGACGUGGGGCUGGCGGAAGGGCAGGUCAUGCUCGGCACCAUUGUAGGUCAGGUAGAGGUAGUUGGUCUGCGCCGGCCACUCGGCCGCCACCGUGUCGAUCUGCUUCACCACCGGCAGGAUGCCCAGGUCGCGCCGCAUCUUCCGCACGGCCAGCUCGGUGCUGAGCACGGCCAGGGCCACCUGCUUGUCGGAGAAGCCGAGCUGCUUGGCACGGCGCAGCACGGCGGGCGGCAUGGCGCUCUGCUCUCCGCGGAACGCCUCCAGCCGCGCCGCGUGGUCCGUGAUGUUCUUCAUCUUGUGCAGGAACCAGCGGUCGAUCUUGGUCAGCUCGUAGAGGCGCUCAAUGGAAUAGCCAGCACGCAGCGCCGCCGCCAGCACGAAGAUGCGCUUGUCUGUCGGUGUCUCCAGCUCCACGUCCGACGCCGGCUUCACCGUGUGGUCAAAGCCCACGCAGUUCUCAUCCACCAUCCGCAGCGCCUUCUGGAAGGCCUCCUCGAAGUUCCUGCCGAUGGCCAUCACCUCCCCCACGCUCUUCAUGGAGCUGCCGAUCUUGGUGCUGACACGCAGGAACUUGCUGAGGUCCCAGCGCGGGAUCUUCACCACGCAGUAGUCCAGGCUGGGCUCGAAGUUGGCGGUGGUGGAGUUGGUGACGGAGUUUCUGAGGACAGGCAGCGGGAUGCCCAGUGCCAGCUUGGCUGCCACGUAGGCUAGCGGGUAACCUGUGGCUUUGCUGGCCAGUGCCGAGCUGCGGGAGAGCCGCGCGUUCACCUCGAUGAUGUAGUACUGCUCCGACUCGGGGUUCAGGGCGAACUGGAUGUUGCACUCGCCAACAAUGCCCAGGUGCUGCACCACCUUGAUGGCCGUGUGGCGCAGCAUGAAGUACUCGGUGUCAUUGAGCGUCUGGCUGGGUGCCACCACGAUGGACUCGCCCGUGUGGAUGCCCAACGGGUCCAGGUUCUCCAUGUUGCACACCGUGACGCAGUUGUUGUAGGCGUCGCGCACCACCUCGUACUCAAUCUCCUUCCAGCCCUUCAGCGACUUGUCCACCAGCACCUGGGAGGUGUGGGUGAAGGCCUGGCUCACCAGGGCCGCCAGCUCCUCCCGGUUGGAGGCAAAGCCGGAGCCCAGGCCCCCCAGGGCGUACGCCGAGCGCACCAGCACCGGGUACCCCAACCGCUCAGCCGCCGCCUGCGCCUGCUCCAGGGAAGCAGCGGCCUUGCUGGGUGCCACGUGCUCGCCGAUCUCCUCCAUCUUCUCCACGAAGACCUUGCGGUCCUCUGUCAUCUCGAUGGAAGCGACGGGGGUGCCCAGCACACGCACGCGGUAUCGCUGCAGCACGCCGCCCUUGGUCAGCUCCACGCCGCAGUUGAGGGCUGUCUGCCCACCGAAGGUCAGCAGCACGCCGUCGGGGCGCUCGUUGCGGAUUACCUGGGUGACAUACUCAGGGGUGAUGGGCAGGAAGUACACCUUGUCUGCCAGCCCCUUGGAGGUCUGCACUGUGGCGAUGUUGGGGUUGAUGAGCACCGUCUGAAUGUUUUCUUCUUUCAGCGCUUUGAUGGCCUGUGACCCUGAGUAAUCAAACUCGCCCGCCUGCCCGAUGGAGAGUCCGCCGGAGCCCAGGAUCAGCACCUUGCGGGGUCGUGCUGCCUCCUGCCCCGCUGCUGGCACCUCCUUGUACGCCAGGAGAUCCCGCAGACGCUGCCGCACUGUUCUGUCAUUGUUCCCUCCCUGCAGAUCCCGCGCCGCCUCCACGAAGACAUCAAAGAGCCCCUCCAGGUCCGUGGGGCCAGCGCGGUGCUCGGGGUGGAACUGCACACUGAAGAAGGGUUUGUGCUCGUGCACCAGCCCCUCAUUGGAGCCAUCGUUGGCGUUGGUGAAGAGCGGUGCCCAACCGGGGGGCAGACUGCCCGCCUCCACUGCAAAGCCGUGGUUCUGUGCCGUGAUGAAGCAGCGCUGCGUGUCCUCGUGCACGCACGGCUGGUUGUGCCCACGGUUCCCAUACUUCAUCUUAUAGGUGCGGGCGCCCAGGGCCAGGGCCAGCAGCUGGUGGCCCAGGCACACCCCGAAGAUGGGCUUGGGGUGGUCAGCGGCCAGCACGGCGCGCAGGUUGGCCACUGUCUGCUGGCACAGCCGCGGGUCCCCGGGGCCGUUGCUGAGGAAGAGCCCAUCGAAGUCGGCGGGGUCCAGCGGAUGGUCCCACGGCACCACGCUGACGGCCGCCCCCCGCUCGCAGAGGCACCGCAGCUGGUUGUGCUUCAGGCCGCAGUCCACAGCGGUGAUGCGCGGGGAUCCACCGGGGUUAAAGACACGCGGCUCCUUCAGGGACACCUCCUGCACCAAGUGCCGCUCAUUUGGGUCCUGGAAGGGGAUGCUCUCCUCCGGGGCCUCGUCCGGCAGCAGCUUGCCCAGCAGCGUGCCCUUCUCGCGGAUCUUCUUGGUGAGGGCGCGGGUGUCCACCCCUUCCAGCCCGGGGACGUUGUGCUCCUUGAGCCAUCGGUCGAGGGAUCGGGCGGCGCUCCAAUGGCUGGGGGUCUCCGAGCACUCUCCCACCACCAGCGCGGCCACGUGGAUCUUAUCCGACUCGAACCACGUGCCCAGGCCGAAGGGUCCCCGCCGCUCCCGGGGCACGCCGUAGUUGCCCACCAACGGGUAGGUGAGCACCAGGAUCUGCGCCGCGUACGACGGGUCGGUGAGCGCCUCGGGGUACCCCACGACGCCCGUCUGGAACACCACUUCCCCGCUGGCGGCAGCGCCCGUAGCCCCGAAGGCGCGGCCGCGCAGCACGGAGCCGUCCUGAAGCACCAGGCGGCCCAUGGCGGUGCCACGUGCGGGGCGCUGCGGGAGGCGG